AGGACGAACGCUGGCGGCGUGCUUAACACAUGCAAGUCGAGCGGAAAGGCCCUUCGGGGUACUCGAGCGGCGAACGGGUGAGUAACACGUGAGUAAUCUGCCCCUAGCUCUGGGAUAGCUCCGGGAAACCGGGAUUAAUACCAGAUACGACCACUUUAGACAUCUGUUGUGGUGGAAAGAAUUUUGGCUAGGGAUGAGCUCGCGGCCUAUCAGCUUGUUGGUGAGGUAACGGCUCACCAAGGCGACGACGGGUAGCCGGCCUGAGAGGGCGACCGGCCACACUGGGACUGAGACACGGCCCAGACUCCUACGGGAGGCAGCAGUGGGGAAUAUUGCGCAAUGGGCGAAAGCCUGACGCAGCGACGCCGCGUGGGGGAUGAAGGCCUCGGGUUGUAAACCCCUUUCAGCAGGGACGAAGCGAAAGUGACGGUACCUGCAGAAGAAGCGCCGGCUAACUACGUGCCAGCAGCCGC
rnacentral:rRNA from 1 species